rnacentral:rRNA from 1 species
AUGCUUCUCCUAGAGACUAAGCCAUGCAUGCUCUGAAUAUGAGGAAGCAAUUCUCUCUGAAUCUGCGAACGGCUCCGCAAACCAGUUGUAAACCAUAGCAAGCCUGCACGGGCUGGGCUUCGGCCCGGCUCGGGCGAUACGGAUAACCCUGGUAAUUCUGAGGCUAAUACGUGUAUGGAACACCCGGUGGACCGGCUUCGGCUGGGAAACCGGGAGACGAGUGAUUGAUUGCUCGGGUUAACCGGGAAAGGGCG